rnacentral:rRNA from 1 species
AUUGAACGCUGGCGGCAGGCCUAACACAUGCAAGUCGAACGAGAGGAGGACGGGUGAGUAAUGUCUGGGAAACUGCCUGAUGGACGGGGAAAACGACUGGAAACGGUAGCUAAUACCGCAUACCAUCGGAUGUGCCCAGAUGGGAGGAGCUAGUAGUGGGGGUAAAGGCUCACCUAGGCGACGAUCCCUAGCUGGUCUGAGAGGAUGACCGGCCACACUGGAACUGAGACACGGUCCAGACUCCUACGGGAGGCAGCAGUGGGGAAUAUUGCACAAUGGGCGAAAGCCUGAUGCAGCAAUGCCGCGUGUGUGAAGAAGGUCUUCGGGUUGUAAAGUACUUUCAGCGGGGAGGCGUUACCCGCACAGGAAGCCCCGGCUAACUCCGUGCCAGCAGCCGCGGUAAUAC